rnacentral:rRNA from 1 species
GACGAACGCUGGCGGCGUGCUUAACACAUGCAAGUCGAACGGAACGGCCCUGCUUUUGUGGGGUGCUCGAGUGGCGACCGGGUGAGUAACACGUGAGUACCCUGCACUUGCCUUUGGGAUAACUUCAUGCCACUGGGGCUCAUACCGGCUAGGAGCUCCUGCUGCAUGGUGGGGGUUGGAAAGUUUCGGCGGUUGGGGAUGGACUCGCGGCGUAUGAGCUUGUUGGGUGGGUAGUGGCUUACCAAGGCUUUGACGGGUAGCCGGGCUGCGAGGGUGACCGGACAAAUCGGGACGGGGAUACGGCCCAGACUCCUACGGGAGGCAGCAGUGGGGUAUAGUACACUAUGGGCGGAAGGAUGAUGCAGCAACGCCGCGUGCGGUAUGACAGGCAGCGGGUUGGAUACCGCUGUCGCCUGUGACGAAGCGUGAGUGACAGUAAUGGGUAAAUAAGCACCGGCUAACUACGUG